rnacentral:rRNA from 1 species
CCAAUAGCGUAUAUUAAAGUUGUUGCAGUUAAAAAGCUCGUAGUUGAAUUUCGGGAUCAAGUCGUCGGUCGUGCCUCGGUACGCACUGGUGACAUUGGUUUCUCCCUUCUGAAGAACCUUGAUGUCAUUAAUUUGGUGUCUUGGGGAAUCAGGACUGUUACUUUGAAAAAAUUAGAGUGUUUAAAGCAGGCUCACGCUUGAAUACAUUAGCAUGGAAUAAUGAAAUAGGACGUUUGAUUCUAUUUUGUUGGUUUCUAGGAUCGACGUAAUGAUUAAUAGGGAUAGUUGGGGGCAUUAGUAUUCAAUUGUCAGAGGUGAAAUUCUUGGAUUUAUUGAAGACUAACUACUGCGAAAGCAUUUGCCAAGGAUGUUUUCAUUAAUCAAGAACGAAAGUUAAGGGAUCGAAGACGAUCAGAUACCGUCGUAGUCUUAACCAUAAACUAUGCCGACUAGGGAUCGGAUGAUGUUAAUUUUUUAAUGACUCAUUCGGCGCCUUACG